CAGCCUCCCUCGCCACACGAAACCAUCGGCGAGACCCCCUUUCUACCACAGUACAAGCGCGCCUCCUCCGCACCAUCAGUCGCUUCGAAUCCGACUCCAGAACUGUCAACCUCCCCUCUCCAUCAUCACCGACCUAUUCUUUGAAAAUGAUGGGUUCUCAAGAACCUGUCCACAGCCACGUCCAGAUGAUGUUGCUUGCAACAGUUGCAUAUGUUAUAUGCAUCCUUGGGAUCAUCUUAAUGUAAAUUUGGUACAUGUCUCAACCAUCAUACCUUUUGAAUAUUUUCAUCUCCUGGACGUUAGCACUCUAAGUUUCUUGCAUUAUACAUUUUCUUGUGGGAAUAAGUCUAUAUUACUUAAUUGAUAUUUUUUUGUGCGGCAGAUGGUGCUAAUUUAUAAAACACCGUUGGGAUGUACUGAUUUAUAAUGUAUUGUGUUAUGUUGUAUGGCACUAAUUAAUGAAUGCAAUAUUUAAUAGA